UACGGGGGGUGCGAGCGUUGUCCGGAAUCACUGGGCGUAAAGGGCGCGUAGGUGGUCUGAUAAGGGUGUGGUGAAAGCCCGGGGCUCAACCCCGGGUCGGCCGUGCCGACUGUUAGACUAGAGUACUGUAGGGGCAGGCGGAAUUCCGGGUGUAGCGGUGGAAUGCGUAGAGAUCCGGAGGAAGGCCGGUGGCGAAGGCGGCCUGCUGGGCAGUUACUGACACUGAGGCGCGACAGCGUGGGGAGCAAACAGG
rnacentral:rRNA from 1 species